UAGGGAAUCUUCGGCAAUGGACGAAAGUCUGACCGAGCAACGCCGCGUGAGUGAAGAAGGUUUUCGGAUCGUAAAACUCUGUUGUUAGAGAAGAACAAGGACGAUAGUAACUGAACGUCCCCUGACGGUAUCUAACCAGAAAGCCACGGCUAACUACGUGCCAGCAGCCGCGGUAAUACGUAGGUGGCAAGCGUUGUCCGGAGUUAUUGGGCGUAAAGCGAGCGCAGGCGGUUUCUUAAGUCUGAUGUGAAAGCCCCCGGCUCAACCGGGGAGGGUCAUUGGAAACUGGGAGACUUGAGUGCAGAAGAGGAGAGUGGAAUUCCAUGUGUAGCGGUGAAAUGCGUAGAUAUAUGGAGGAACACCAGUGGCGAAGGCGGCUCGCUGGUCUGUAACUGACGCUGAGGCUCGAAGGCGUGAGGAGCAAACAGG
rnacentral:rRNA from 1 species